rnacentral:lncRNA from 1 species
ACUCCCGGCCCUAGGGGGUCGGAGUAGGUCCAGCAGGAGUGACCCCCCGGGGCUGUGGGAUCUGAAACUUUUUCUUCUCUACUGCUUGUUCUCCCUUCCUCCAUCCCUCACCCCGAAGCGGGAAGCAGCUUUCUCUUCCCAGCUUCCAUCCAGUCUCUGAGUAGACCAGUCGCAGCUUAGAUGCUGGGAUCGCCUCAGAACACAUUUCUUUGCCCUUCACGGCCACUACCGGUAUUGGGGUAUGCGAGUCUCAGGGCCGUUCGUUGCUCACAGGUCGAGCUGGUCUGGACUCUGUUCGACCACGAAUCAUGACUCCUUCCUGCCAGUUAUGUCCCCUCCGCACCCUUGCCCAGCCAUUUUACCAGGCCUCUCCACAUUGCGCUGCCCCACGGUAAGUCGCAGGACAAGCCCGGCCAAAGGAAUUGCCUCCAGCUCUGAGUCCCCUCCCUACUGUGGCAACCCACUCCAGUGCCAGCCCUCCCACACUGGAUGUCUAAUUUUUCUAGCUUGCCACCCUUUACUUUCCCCUCCGCUGCCCAUCCUUUCCCUCUGGGGCAAAGGUUAUCAUUUACGGGGCUUUCUCCAUCCUUUAUUGUUGAUACUUUUCUACCUUCAUUCCAGGAAAAGGUCUGAUGUACACGCAGACAACACAUUUGAUAGGCGAAAAUCGUCUUGAUAAUGCCUUAUUCUUAUAUAACAUCCUGUUGCAAAAAAUAAUAGAGACCACUAUUUGCUGAAAGCCUACCGUGGAUUAAGCAUUGUUCAGUGUGCUUUUCAUGUGUCAUUUAGUCUUGACAGUUCAAUACUCGGUAGGCAUUUCCCGUUUUCCAGAUGAGGACAUUGAAACUGAAAAAGAUUAAAUAACUAAACAAGUCACAGAGCUGGUGAGUGAUGGAGUUAGGAUUGAUAACCAGGUGGAGUUCACUCUAUUGCCAAUACUUUUUUUUUUUUCAAGACGGAGUAUCACUCUGUCACGCCCAGGCUGGAGUUCAGUAGUGCAAUCUCAGCUCACUGCAACCUCCGCUUCCGGGGUUCAAGCGAUUCUCCUGCCUCAGCCUCCUGAGUAGCUGGGAUUACAGGCACGCACCACCAUGCCUGGCUAAUUUUUUUUUUUUUUUUUUUGUGGAGAUGAGGUUUCACCAUUUUAGCCAGGCUGGUUUCGAACUCCCAACCUCAAGCGAUCUGCCC